UGCUUAACACAUGCAAGUCGAACGGUAACAGGCCUUCGGGUGCUGACGAGUGGCGGACGGGUGAGUAACGCGUAGGAAUCUGCCUCAUAGUGGGGGACAACGUGGGGAAACUCACGCUAAUACCGCAUACGCCCUACGGGGGAAAGGAGGGGAUCUUCGGACCUUUCGCUAUGAGAUGAGCCUGCGUUAGAUUAGCUAGUUGGUAGGGUAAAGGCCUACCAAGGCGACGAUCUAUAGCUGGUCUGAGAGGACGAUCAGCCACACUGGGACUGAGACACGGCCCAGACUCCUACGGGAGGCAGCAGUGGGGAAUAUUGGACAAUGGGCGAAAGCCUGAUCCAGCAAUACCGCGUGUGUGAAGAAGGCCUUAGGGUUGUAAAGCACUUUCAAUUGGGAGGAAAACCUGCCGGCCAAUACCCGGUAGCUUGACAUUACCUUUAGAAGAAGCACCGGGUAACUCCGUGCCAGCAGCCGCGGUAAUACGGAGGGUGCGAGCGUUAAUCGGAAUUACUGGGCGUAAAGCGUGCGUAGGCGGUUCGUUAAGUCAGAUGUGAAAGCCCUGGGCUCAACCUGGGAACUGCAUUUGAAACUGGCGGACUAGAGUUUAGUAGAGGGGAGUGGAAUUUCAGGUGUAGCGGUGAAAUGCGUAGAUAUCUGAAGGAACACCAGUGGCGAAGGCGACUCCCUGGACUAGAACUGACGCUGAGGUACGAAAGCGUGGGUAGCAAACAGGAUUAGAUACC
rnacentral:rRNA from 1 species